CGGCCACCGCAGCACUGCCAUAAUUUCUUCUGCGAGGAACACAGGUCUCAUGUCUGUGACGUCUGCACCCUUCCGUCAAGCCCUUUGUCUCACUACGACACUUCUGCUGCUAGGCCCUCCCCACAGAAACUUCUCAGACCGUCUGCAGCCAUCUGCAGCCUUCUUGGCUCUGUGGACCGUGAAUCUCUCCGGAGCAGGGACUAUGCAGACAGCGACUCGGUCCCUGGAGCAUGGGAAGCAACCAGGCCGUGGAGUGUGA
rnacentral:lncRNA from 1 species